GGCAUCCCCAUCACCAGAGGCUGUCGCAUCCCUACGCCGCGAGCCCGAGCCACCGCGCGACCACCUGCCGCUGCCCCGGGCGCAGCCAUUGCCGCCUCCCCCGGCUGGCCACCCUCCUUGACGCCCGCGGCUGACUUUACCCAGCGGCGCCUUGUCUCCCGCGGCCGCUUCCCCUCCGCCGCCGCUGCCCCUCCCGUCCGGCCGCGGGUGUCCUCCUCGGAGCACGCUUCACAUGCCUCUAUUUACAGAUUCAGUCAGGAUCACAAAUUUACCAGUUCACUUCAGACAGGAUGAGGCAGGCUAACAAUCUGAUGUUACCAGUGAGAACUGAAGACUGAAGAGGAGGCUGCUGAGCUCUGAAAUCUAAUGUUCAUGCUUGUGAACCGGAAGUAGAGUGUAGUUAGAAAUUAUACAAUGUAUGGACACAGAUGGCUCGAGGAAGGCUCUAAUCCUGAUGUUGUGGCCUAAUGCUCCUGACCAACUGCAGAGGGUACCAAAGAUGAGGUCUCUUGAUGCUUCUAGCCUGAUAUAUAAAGUGUAGGGCUCAAAUUGUACAAUGUAUGGAUGUAUUACGAUGGUUGUUCUUGAA